UAUGUUCUUAGUUCUGCUAACGGGGUAGGAUCCGAAGUUCCUUUUGGGGCCCUAUAGGCUCUCCUACUCAACUCCUAUUCCGUCACGUCCCCGUCGUGCAG
rfam:Anopheles culicifacies strain species A-37_1 cont1.21851, whole genome shotgun sequence.